AACAAAAACAAAAAAAAAACAAUGCUGAAAUUAAAUCAAAAUAAAUUAAACCGGAAGACUUUAUCCUGGUCUAUUUAUUAUCGUUUCCCCACGAGCACAACAUGUAGCCUAUUUUCGAGUCAAUAUUCUCAUUUUUUGCGUCAAGAACUGAAAUGUUCAACAUUAUUUUUAUAUUCGAAGUCUACGGGCAAUAUUCCUCAAGGACAAUAUAGGAAAAUUCUCCCUAUUUACUUUCUGUACCUUAAAACAAUAUGAGCUUGUUUAUAUUUUGUUUUCUUUUGAAUUCGAUAGAAUUUCUUCAAUGACCUUUCACUGUCAAGCCGAAGCGAAAAUAACCAUUUGUUCUUUAAUUUCAUUAAUUAACAGGAAUUAGAAGUGGGUGAUAUUUUUCUUUCUAAUUUUAAAUAGUUUCAAGGCGGUGAAACUUCCAGACGUCUGAGUCAGAGAUAUAAUGAUUAUAAAACCCAAGGCGUGUCAAACGACUUAAAUUCUUUGAACGCAAAAUAGAGUAGCUAGUUCAACAGCAAAAAAAAUCGAUAAAUGUGACAGUUCAGUGCUGAACUUAUGUUUUCCAAAAGAUAUCGCUGCGCUGCAAGAGCAUGUAAAAAGGUCAGAAAGCCUCAAUCUCUCUCGUCGUUUACUGCCGGAGCGGGCAAGAUAAACCCUGUUCAAUCUCGUCACGCCAAUGAUUAAAAUGAAUAAAUUCUGUUUAUUACUGGACAGUUUAAAGUUUGCAACGAUCUUUGCUAGUUUCUAAUCAAAUCUACCGCUACAUUUUCUCCGACAAUAACUCUUGAAUCGAAUACGAAUAAGAAAUUUUAUGUCAUAGAAGACGUUAGAAUUGGACGUUAUAAUUAGAGUGAACAAAAGUUGUUUUUGUUUACCAGCAGGUUUAAGCGAGACGUGCGAGAUAAUAAAAUUUGGCCCUUGCAAGCCCGAAUUAAAGGCAUUUUCUUUCCAAUCUUUGUUCUGAGAAGUUAGAGAGACAUCAAGAGAAAACUCUCCGCCAAUUUGACGAGUUUCUUUCUUGUGUGUGGUCAGAUACACUUCUGCCUUUUUGAGAAUGUACCAACAAUUUAAAAAAUUAUGUGAUGUUUACGACCGAAACAAUUCUCACAAGAGUCUAGCAAACGAGACCGAAUCGAAAUAUUUUAAAAAAUGGAACAAUUCAAGAGCUUAAGCCUAACAUACCCUAGACAACAUAUCGUCAUUUAAGGCUUACCUUUACCUUUCGAAGAAACGUCAAAGAAUUGCUCUUUCAACUGACAAAUUCGCUUGGUGUUUUCAAACUGCGCGCGUCAAAAGUUCGUUACUUAGUGCGCGUUUUGAAAAACGACUGCUUAUAAACACUGAUUAAUUUAACCGUCUCAGGUGACAGGGGAUUCCCCGAAGCAGUAGGAGCACCUAUGGCAGCACGUAACAUAUAAAGAGGACCUUGAAGAUAUAAAAUACGGUUUCUGCUUUUUAAUAUUCGCUUUCAUAAUGUGUCUUCGCCAUUCUUCUUCCCUUUAGGGGUGAUAGCUAGUUUUGUGAAUUUUAAUGACUUAAAAUGGCGUGAUAGUAUAGGUAAACAAUCCAUCAACACUAUGAAUCGCUAUAAUUGGUCAAGCAGCUAGACCCAAAAUAGGGCGGAAUAAAACCUUGCCGGAGAAGGCUUGUGUUUCCUGGGCAGAUAAAAGAAUGUCUCAUGAUCAACUAAGUUUUCGUGUAGGCGACCAAACAUAGUCUUGUGGUGAAACCAUGAACAGAGAAAGGCUAACACCGUAGACGUGGUGUUGAACACGACCAUAAGGGCAUGGUUGACUGCAUCAUCUGCAGAACACUCCACAAAUCAAGACCGCAAUGCGGAAGCUUAUAAAUGUGUCAUUAAUGACUACUUUUUAAUAUUGCCAAGCGUCCAGUGCCCUCGCCUACCCUACAGAGGUGAUUCUACAGAUAUCAUUUGUUCGGUAGUCGGACUUCUAUUAAUUCUCCGGAAUCGGUCAUGAAAUGUUGUCGCUUAAGCUGUCAAAAGAUGUGGGCAAGGGGAGCAAGGCUGAAAACAAAGGAAAAAAGGAAAAGAAACGCCUAAGGAUUGCACAGCUAAAUGACAAGGAUGUGUUUGGAUGAGUCUCCUUAUUUACAGGGGACGGAAGCAAGACGGACGAGGACGGGAGUCGGGUGAUAAAGGACUCACCUUGCCGUGCAGGUUUAGAGGAGUAGGAUUUUUGGCAAUGCCUCUGUGUGUGUCAAGUCAUCACACUUUGCAAGUUGUCAAGUUGCGUUGGAACGGUAACUGGGGAGUGAUGUUUGGAUCACGAGGCCUCCGCAACCAGAACAAAUGUUACCGUAUCAUGCAGAUGGAGUGAAAAUAGUUCUUCAUAGGCUACUUUACUUCUUUUCGAACAGAAAUGUUCAUUGACGUAUAGUUGCAAGGAAGCGGUAACAGGAAAGUGUAGACGGUCAUUUUUUAAAGAGUACGUAAUUGUGCUUGGCUAGCAGAACUGCUAUUGAAAAAUUAGGCGUGACAGUUUGCUGUUCCUCGGGAAACCCCCUGCUUGAGUUUAUAACAUUGUGUUUUGUGCUCUGAAGCAUUUACAAUAUAUCAUUGGAAAACGGACCAUUCACAGAAAUAUGUUCAUUCCGGCAGUUUCAUUGGUUCGGUGCUCAUUGUUCGUUUUUUAAAUUUGGUUUGGUUUGUUUUCUUAUUUCCCCUUUUGUGUGGGAUUUAUCUACUGAGUUUGAACGUGCUUGGGCAGCAAUAAAAGUGAUACAUGACCAGGCCGGACUAACACGGUAGAAUUAGUUAUGGUAACAUGUUUGAGCCUUUGACAAUUUGACUUUGUUUUCUUGCUUUUCUAUGAAGAUCAAAAUGAUCAAAUAUGAUCAAAAUGUUUCAAAUAAAUCCAAGAAAUGCGGACGUAAAGGAUGUGCAUAAAGUACGCGGCAAAGCACACUUCAUAAAAUGCUUACUCAGCAACUCACGUACUGAAAUAAUUGUCGGCACUUUCGACAAAAUAAUGUCAGAAGUUUUACCAAUGAAAGUCAACGACGAAAUAUCUCGUGGCGAUGGUUGUUCGGGAUUGAGAUACAAAACGUAAACAAAGAACAAUCGGUAUAUGAGCGGAAGUCAAUGAGUCAAAACUUUCGAUUCAUUGUUCAUGCAUGUUUUCAAAAGAAUGCGUGCGGUUGCCAGACAAUUUCCUCAAUCCUAUAGAGUCAACAGCCCAGUGAAGUGUUUAGCAGACAGCGGAAGGAACAUAAAGAAAAAAGAAAACUUACGCCAAAUGGUAAGAAACCAAAGCUCAGUUGUGGAAAGCCAUGUCUGUCAAACAACGAAAAGCAUCUCGUGAUUCCAAUCCUCCGUAGGAAAAAAGAUGGCGGCUGUACAUUUUGCCGUAAUGCCCUGGCACGCGAACCUUGCACAGCCCAUAAAGUACAACUGAAGGAGAGCCAUAUUUUUGCAAUAUUUGUCUGCGCUAACGACAUUGUAUAUGCUAGGAUUGAACGUUUUAUAACUUUUCUGUACGUUUUUAUGACCGUUGUUAAUUUUUUCGUGCGCUAAGAAUUAUGGGUAAGCUAAGAAUUAUGGGCAAAUAACCAGUCGCCAUCUUUUUUUUUUUUCUUAUGGAGGAUUAGACAUGACUACCGAGAUGUGAUAUGGGAUGUGAUAUGUGAUGUUUGAUAAGUGAUAGUCAGAUAUCGUACUCAGUAACUGGUCGCUGAGAUACGAUAUUCCCUGAAUAUAGCAGCAAAAACACUUUUUUAACUUCAUGAAAAAGUCGGCGAGUCGACUUUGCUGACAUAAGCUCUUCGCUAGCGCUCGAAACGUCAGCUUCUCUAAAGUUUCUUCGUAAUUCGCUUCGUACUGAUCGAGGUAGCUUGGAACGUUCGAUAAAAGUGAAUCAAAACGGACCUCUUGUUUAUAAGUAUGGGAGAGCUAGCUCGGAAUUAUUAACAUCAUUUAAACUUCCCCAAGCCCGCAAGCAUAUAUAAAUCGCAUAUCGUUCCACUGUGGAACUAUAUCUCAAUGACAACAUCAAAAUGUACAUGCAAGCAGUUUACAGUCUAUUCACGAAAGACGCGUCGGCAGCGACGAACGAGGCGCGGUAUCAGAUCAGGUUCUCUUUAUUUGCUACUUCAUUUUUGGAUAAAUACUGCUGCAGACUAUUUGCUGAGAACAUUUACUCGAAUUUUCUAGGAUACUAUAUCGUGCUCACGACUAUCGU
rnacentral:lncRNA from 1 species